UGAACGAGAUGAAGCAGAAAGUCAUUCCUCCAAACAUAGUCACAUAUAGUUCAUUAAUUGAUGGUUUGUGUAAGCUUCGUCAGUGGGAAAAGGUUAGGAAUUUGUUCUCUGAGAUGUUAGACCUUAAUAUUUAUCCAGACGUGCGCACCUUCACCAUGGUGAUUGAUGGACUGUGCAAAGAAGGGAAAGUUGAAGAUGCCGAGGAAGUAAUGAGACAUAUGAACGAAAAAGGUGUAGAGCCUAAUAUAUUCACUUACAAUGUGAUGAUGGAUGGAUAUUGUUUGCGUGGUCAAAUGGAUAGAGCGAGGAGAAUUUUGGAUUUCAUGAUAGAUAAGUGCAUUGAACCUGACAUUAUUAGCUAUAGCAUACUAAUAAAUGGAUAUUGUAAGAAAAAGAAGUUGGAUGAGGCCAUGCAAAUGUUUCGUAAAAUUUCUCAAAAGAGACCAAAACCUAAUAUGGUUACCUACAAUACUAUCUUGCAAGGUCUGUUUGAAGUUGGAAGAAUUGGCAAUGCAAAACAGGUAUUCGCGGAGAUGUUAUUUACGGGGACCAUACCUGAUUUAUGCACUCACACCACUUUGCUCAAUGGUUAUUUUAAGUAUGGACUUGUUGAAGAAUCUAUGUCUUAUUUUAAUAAGUUGGAAAUAAAGAGAGUAAGUACAGAUAUUGGAUUUUACAAUGCUGUCAUUAAUGGAUUGUGCAAAAAUGGUGAACUCGACAAAGCUCAUGCUAUUUUUGAGAAGCUUUCUAUAAUGGGGUUGCUUCCUAAUUCAAGAACAUACACUACAAUGAUAACUGGAUUUUGUUUGAAAGGAUUGUUAGAUGAAGCUAAAGCUAUGCUAAGAAAAAUGGGGGACAACGGUUAUUUGCCAAAUGAGGUCACUUACAGUGUUAUUGUGCAAGGGUAUCUCAGGUGUAGCAAAAUUUGUGAAAUGGCAACUUUUAUAAAGGAAAUGGCUGGAAAGGGCUUCUCAUUUGAUGCAACUACAAUUGAGUUACUGAUAAAUGUUAUAAGGAAGAACCCUUCUGUCCUUGACAUGAUGCCACAUUUUCACUCGAAAAAUAAGAAGUGAAUAUUUCUUUCCCUUGGUUUAUUCACUAUCAUGAUACAAUUUCCGUUUAUCUCUGCGAAAGAAAUUCUACAAAAUUAGGGCACACCGAAAUUACCCAACUUUCCCAUCCGCUGGAAAAUUUCCAGCAAUUCACUGAGCGAAAUUCUUCAGCCAUUGACGAUGAAUAGAAUUUCUCUGCGUUGCGCUCGCAAUGGUAUUCCGUUUAUCUCUUUCAUUUCAAUUCGAACUUAUUCUUCCUGCAAUAGUAAUACAUCCAUUUGGGGUAAAUAGCAAAUUUGAGAACGUCAAGUGUUUAGAUGACGCUGUGAAUCUCUUCCGUCAAUUGGUCAGAAAUCAGCCUCUUCCGUCUCCUGUCGACUUCUCUAAAUUAUUUAAGACUAUGCUAAAUAUGAAGCAUUACUCUGCUGUUGUUUCUCUUUUUAUAGAAAUGCAGAAAUCGUAUAUCCAGAUCGAUGGGUUCAUCUUGAGUAUCGUGAUUGAUAGUUAUUGCCUGAUGCAUCGUGUUGAUUGUGGAUUUUCGGUGUUACCCGUUUACUUGAAGUAUGGCAUUCCAUUUAAUGUUGUCACCUUUAACACCCAAAUAAGGGGAUUUUUUGCUGAAGAUAAGGUCAAAGAUGCAGUUGAAUUGUUCAAAAAGUUGGUGAGGGAGAAGAUUUGUGAACCUAAUGAAGUCAUGUAUGCAACCGUUAUGAAUGGGCUCAACAAACGUGGUCAUACUGAAAAAGCUGUUAGUUUGCUCCGGUUAAUGGAACAAGGGAGCGCUAAGCCCGACGUAUUUAACUACAGCAUUGUCAUAGAUUCACUUUGCAAAGAUAGAAAUUUAGAUGCGGCUAUCAGCCUUUUGAACGAGAUGAAAAAGAAAGGCAUAUGUGCAGACAUAUUCACAUUUAAUUCAUUUGAUUGAUGGUUUGUGUAAGUUUGGUCAGUGGGAAAAGGUUAGGACUUUGUUCUCUGAGAUGUUGGACCUUAAUAUUUAUCCAGACGUGCGCACCUUCACCAUGGUGAUUGAUGGACUGUGCAAAGAAGGGAAAGUUGAAGAUGCCGAGGAAGUAAUGAUACAUAUGAACGAAAAAGGUGUAGAGCCUAAUAUAUUCACUUACAAUGUGAUGAUGGAUGGAUAUUGUUUGCGUGGUCAAAUGGAUGGAGCGAGGAGAAUUUUGGAUUUCAUGAUAGAUAAGUGCAUUGAACCUGACAUUAUUAGCUAUAGCAUACUAAUAAAUGGAUAUUGUAAGAAAAAGAAGUUGGAUGAGGCCAUGCAAAUGUUUCGUAAAAUUUCUCAAAAGAGACCAAAACCUAAUAUGGUUACCUACAAUACUAUCUUGCAAGGUCUGUUUGAAGUUGGAAGAAUUGGCAAUGCAAAACAGGUAUUCGCGGAGAUGUUAUUUACGGGGACCAUACCUGAUUUAUGCACUCACACCACUUUGCUCAAUGGUUAUUUUAAGUAUGGACUUGUUGAAGAAUCUAUGUCUUAUUUUAAUAAGUUGGAAAUAAAGAGAGUAAGUACAGAUAUUGGAUUUUACAAUGCUGUCAUUAAUGGAUUGUGCAAAAAUGGUGAACUCGACAAAGCUCAUGCUAUUUUUGAGAAGCUUUCUAUAAUGGGGUUGCUUCCUAAUUCAAGAACAUACACUACAAUGAUAACUGGAUUUUGUUUGAAAGGAUUGUUAGAUGAAGCUAAAGCUAUGCUAAGAAAAAUGGGGGACAACGGUUAUUUGCCAAAUGAGGUCACUUACAGUGUUAUUGUGCAAGGGUAUCUCAGGUGUAGCAAAAUUUGUGAAAUGGCAACUUUUAUAAAGGAAAUGGCUGGAAAGGGCUUCUCAUUUGAUGCAACUACAAUUGAGUUACUGAUAAAUGUUAUAAGGAAGGGCACUUGUGUAUGAACUUCCAGCAUAUUAUGUUGCACUGGUAUAUUAUACUGGAAUUCCAGUAUUGUGCUUGAAUUCCAGUAUAUUUAUGCUGGAACUCCAGUAUAUUAUGCGGGAGUAUUUUUCAAAACAGAUCAAAAUAGUAUAAUUUGCGGGUCAAAUUAUGAAUUAUGUAAAGUUGAAAGGAUUUAAGCUAAAACUUUGAAAAGAAAUAAAGAAGUACUACAAUGGAGUAAUAGGUUUCCUACAAAAUUAGGGCACACCGAAAUUACCCCACUUUCCCAUCCGCUGGGAAAUUUCCAGCAAUUCACUGAGCGAAAUUCUUCAGCCAUUGACGAUGAAUAGAAUUUCUCUGCGUUGCGCUCGCAAUGGUAUUCCGUUUAUCUCUUUCAUUUCAAUUCGAACUUAUUCUUCCUGCAAUAGUAAUACAUCCAUUUCAGUAAAGGGUAAAUUUGGGGUAAAUAGCAAAUUUGAGAACGUCAAGUGUUUAGAUGACGCUGUGAAUCUCUUCCGUCAAUUGGUCAGAAAUCAGCCUCUUCCCUCUCCUGUCGUUUUAUCUAAAUUAUUUAAGACUAUGCUAAAUAUGAAGCAUUACUCUGCUGUAGUUUCUCUUUUUAUAGAAAUGCAGAAAUCGUAUAUCCAGAUCGAUGGGUUCAUCUUGAAUAUCGUGAUUAAUAGUUAUUGCUUGAUGCAUCGUGUUGAUUGUGCAUUUUCGGUGUUACCCGUUUACUUGAAGAAUGGCAUCUGAUGCAUCGUGUUGAUUGUGGAUUUUCGGUGUUACCCGUUUACUUGAAGAAUGGCAUUCCGUUUGGUGUUGUCACCUUUACCACCCUAAUUAGGGGAAUCUUUGCUGAAAAUAAGGUCAAAGAUGCAGUUGAAUUGUUCAAAAAUUACACAAAAUAAAAUAAUUAGCCUACUGCUGAAAAUAAGGUCAAAGAUGCAGUUGACUUGUUCAAAAAGUUGGUGAGAGAAGAUUUGUGAGCCUAAUGAAGUCAUGUAUGCAAUCAUCAUGAAUGGGCUCAACAAAAGGGGUCAUAAUGAAAAAACUGUUAGUUUGCUCCGGUUAAUGGAACAAGGGAGCACCAAGCCCGACAUAUACAUCUACACCAUUGUUAUAGAUUCCCUUUGCAAAGAUAGAAACUUAGAUGCUGCUAUCAACCUUUUGAACGAGAUGAAGCAGAAAGUCAUUCCUCCAAACAUAGUCACAUAUAAUUCAUUAAUUGAUGGUUUGUGUAAGCUUCGUCAGUGGGAAAAGGUUAGGAAUUUGUUCUCUGAGAUGUUAGACCUUUAUAUUUAUCCAGACGUGCGCACCUUCACCAUGGUGAUUGAUGGACUGUGCAAAGAAGGGAAAGUUGAAGAUGCCGAGGAAGUAAUGAGACAUAUGAACGAAAAAGGUGUAGAGCCUAAUAUAUUCACUUACAAUGUGAUGAUGGAUGGAUAUUGUUUGCGUGGUCAAAUGGAUAGAGCGAGGAGAAUUUUGGAUUUCAUGAUAGAUAAGUGCAUUGAACCUGACAUUAUUAGCUAUAGCAUACUAAUAAAUGGAUAAGAGCGAGGCGAAUUUUGGAUUUCAUGAUAGAUAAGUGCAUUGAACCUAACAUUAUUAGCUAUAGCAUACUAAUA
rnacentral:lncRNA from 1 species